GAAUAUAAUACUAGCAUCAAUUUUUUAUUUUAAAAGAAGUGGAAGUAAAAUCUCGUCAAAUAUAAUAUUUCUUCACCUUUGAAAGGUUCUAUCUCCAGGUGAAAGGUAUUUCCUAUCUUCUAUCAUCUCCUGUUUGCUUAUUCUUACAUCCAUACACUAAACAAUAUUUACUAAUAACACAAAAAGCAGAAAAAACACACCACAAAUGACAAUUGUUUUAUUCAACUAAUAAAACCAUUUCUUGUUAUUACAUGUAGUUCCUACAAUGUUGCUGCCAAUGAUCUCAUUUUGGCUGCUAGCCAGUCAUUGGAGCAGUCAGUCCAAUCUAUUAUAUAAAACAUUCUUGAUUUACCAUUGUGGAUAGAAAUGGAAGUGAUGAUGGUUUAUGUUAAUGAACUCUGUUAAGUAUUUUAAUUUGCUUAACCAAGUACAAUAGUAAAACUUGUUUAUGAAAAUGACAUUUGUGGAUGUGUUUGUUUCUUAUUUCAAUACUGUAUUAUAGUAGUUAUUCAGUGUUUCAAGAAAAUGGAUAAUUUGCUGGGAGAACAACCAAACCAAGGAAGUAAAGUAUGGUAGGACUUUACAGGACCUUCCCCACUUGUAAUCAGAGGAGUUUGUCAGUUGCAACCACUGAUCACAACAGAGGAAUGACAUUACAAGUUAUCAAGUGGGUGUCACGUUUCUGUCUUCUCCCCAACAAUUUCAGAAUGAAACAAUGCAAUAAUAUCUCCAUUUUAAAUACAUAUCUGACAGUGUCACCAUCGUUUUGCAUUAGGGAAUUGAAGAGUUUCAAAAUUACUUGAAAAAAAUGGCUGUUGAAAUUCCUUUGCCACGAAUUCAAAGUGACCAUAUAUUUGAGGUGAUCUUAUAAGCAUAUAACUUUGAGAUCUGUGUCUGAUUUGUAGUAUUUUUAAAAAUCUGUUUAAUAAUUGAAUUAUAUCAAAUAAAAGAAUCAUGGUAAUUAAUUUAAAGAUAGCUAAUUCUAUUUAUUUGUUAAAUAAAACUUUUUGGUCAAUCAAAUUGCCAAUUAUCUAGAAUAAUGUUAAGACAGAAUCUGAUG
rnacentral:lncRNA from 1 species